rnacentral:rRNA from 1 species
GUAUCCUGUCUGAAUAUGGGGGGACCAUCCUCCAAGGCUAAAUACUCCUGACUGACCGAUAGUGAACCAGUACCGUGAGGGAAAGGCGAAAAGAACCCCGGCGAGGGGAGUGAAAAAGAACCUGAAACCGUGUACGUACAAGCAGUGGGAGCCCCACCACCAAAGCAUUCUCUGGUGUUGAAGGCCCUGCAAAGCAGCAUCGCGGUGGCGGAGCGUCGUUUGCGACGCCCAACACAUAAAACAAGCGGUGAGUGCUUUGGGGUGGGGUGACUGCGUACCUUUUGUAUAAUGGGUCAGCGACUUAUAUUCUGUAGCAAGGUUAACCGAAUAGGGGAGCCGCAGGGAAACCGAGUCUUAAUUGGGCGUUAAGUUGCAGGGUAUAGACCCGAAACCCGGUGAUCUAGCCAUGGGCAGGUUGAAGGUUGGGUAACACUAACUGGAGGACCGAACCGACUAAUGUUGAAAAAUUAGCGGAUGACCUGUGGCUGGGGGUGAAAGGCCAAUCAAACCGGGAGAUAGCUGGUUCUCCCCGAAAGCUAUUUAGGUAGCGCCUCGUGAAUUCAUCUCCGGGGGUAGAGCACUGUUUCGGCUAGGGGGCCAUCCCGGCUUACCAACCCGAUGCAAACUGCGAAUACCGGAGAAUGUUAUCACGGGAGACACACGGCGGGUGCUAACGUCCGUCGUGAAGAGGGAAACAACCCAGACCGCCAGCUAAGGUCCCAAAGUCAUGGUUAAGUGGGAAACGAUGUGGGAAGGCCCAGACAGCCAGGAUGUUGGCUUAGAAGCAGCCAUCAUUUAAAGAAAGCGUAAUAGCUCACUGGUCGAGUCGGCCUGCGCGGAAGAUGUAACGGGGCUAAACCAUGCACCGAAGCUGCGGCAGCGACGCUGAUGCGUUGUUGGGUAGGGGAGCGUUCUGUAAGCCUGUGAAGGUGGCCUGUGAGGGUUGCUGGAGGUAUCAGAAGUGCGAAUGCUGACAUAAGUAACGAUAAAGCGGGUGAAAAGCCCGCUCGCCGGAAGACCAAGGGUUCCUGUCCAACGUUAAUCGGGGCAGGGUGAGUCGACCCCUAAGGCGAGGCCGAAAGGCGUAGUCGAUGGGAAACGGGUUAAUAUUCCCGUACUUGGUGUUACUGCGAAGGGGGGACGGAGAAGGCUAUGUUGGCCGGGCGACGGUUGUCCCGGUUUAAGCGUGUAGGUGUGUGUUCCAGGUAAAUCCGGUUCACUUUAACACUGAGGCGUGACGACGAGGCACUACGGUGCUGAAGCAACAAAUGCCCUGCUUCCAGGAAAAGCCUCUAAGCAUCAGGUAACAUCAAAUCGUACCCCAAACCGACACAGGUGGUCAGGUAGAGAAUACCAAGGCGCUUGAGAGAACUCGGGUGAAGGAACUAGGCAAAAUGGUGCCGUAACUUCGGGAGAAGGCACGCUGACACGUAGGUGAAGUGAUUUACUCAUGGAGCUGAAGUCAGUCGAAGAUACCAGCUGGCUGCAACUGUUUAUUAAAAACACAGCACUGUGCAAACACGAAAGUGGACGUAUACGGUGUGACGCCUGCCCGGUGCCGGAAGGUUAAUUGAUGGGGUCAGCGCAAGCGAAGCUCCUGAUCGAAGCCCCGGUAAACGGCGGCCGUAACUAUAACGGUCCUAAGGUAGCGAAAUUCCUUGUCGGGUAAGUUCCGACCUGCACGAAUGGCGUAAUGAUGGCCAGGCUGUCUCCACCCGAGACUCAGUGAAAUUGAACUCGCUGUGAAGAUGCAGUGUACCCGCGGCAAGACGGAAAGACCCCGUGAACCUUUACUAUAGCUUGACACUGAACAUUGAGCCUUGAUGUGUAGGAUAGGUGGGAGGCUUUGAAGUGUGGACGCCAGUCUGCAUGGAGCCGACCUUGAAAUACCACCCUUUAAUGUUUGAUGUUCUAACGUGGACCCGUGAUCCGGGUUGCGGACAGUGUCUGGUGGGUAGUUUGACUGGGGCGGUCUCCUCCUAAAGAGUAACGGAGGAGCACGAAGGUUGGCUAAUCCUGGUCGGACAUCAGGAGGUUAGUGCAAUGGCAUAAGCCAGCUUGACUGCGAGCGUGACGGCGCGAGCAGGUGCGAAAGCAGGUCAUAGUGAUCCGGUGGUUCUGAAUGGAAGGGCCAUCGCUCAACGGAUAAAAGGUACUCCGGGGAUAACAGGCUGAUACCGCCCAAGAGUUCAUAUCGACGGCGGUGUUUGGCACCUCGAUGUCGGCUCAUCACAUCCUGGGGCUGAAGUAGGUCCCAAGGGUAUGGCUGUUCGCCAUUUAAAGUGGUACGCGAGCUGGGUUUAGAACGUCGUGAGACAGUUCGGUCCCUAUCUGCCGUGGGCGCUGGAGAACUGAGGGGGGCUGCUCCUAGUACGAGAGGACCGGAGUGGACGCAUCACUGGUGUUCGGGUUGUCAUGCCAAUGGCACUGCCCGGUAGCUAAAUGCGGAAGAGAUAAGUGCUGAAAGCAUCUAAGCACGAAACUUGCCCCGAG